GAACACCAUUAUGUAUCCUUCUUGAAUUUCUUCUCUCUACACUCUACACAGGGUUUCCAGGAUAUCCUUGAAGAUUAACCAGAGAACUUUUCAUAUACUUCUAAAGGUAGGAAAUAGAAGCCCCCUUUUUUUGGUUAUAAAAUAUGUUGUAUUUGUUUUAGCUAUGUUUGAAUAAUUUACUUCCCUUGCUAGAUAUAGAUAGAAUUGAUGCUGC
rnacentral:lncRNA from 1 species